rnacentral:rRNA from 1 species
UUUGACCUCAAAUCAGGUAGGACUACCCGCUGAACUUAAGCAUAUCAAUAAGCGGAGGAAAAGAAACUAACGAGGAUUCCCCUAGUAACURCGAGUGAAGAGGGAAAAGCUCAAAUUUAAAAUCUGGCAGUCUUUGAUUGUCCGAGUUGUAAUUUAGAGAAGUGUUACCCGUGUUGGGCCGUGUAUAAGUCUCCUGGGAUGGAGCGUCAUAGASGGUGAGAAUCCCGUCUUUGACACGGACUCCAAUACAUUGUGGUGCGCUCUCGAAGAGUCGAGUUGUUUGGGAAUGCAGCUCUAAAUGGGUGGUAAAUUCCAUCUAAAGCUAAAUAUUGGGGAGAGACCGAUAGCGAACAAGUACCGUGAGGGAAAGAUGAAAAGAACUUUGGAAAGAGAG